UACCUAGUAUUUAAUGGUUCUUUCCUUACAAGGAAGAAGUCACAGGUUCAAAUCCUGUAGCGCCCA
rnacentral:tRNA from 1 species